AAAUUUUAAAUGGCCGCAGUAUUUUGACUGUGCAAAGGUAGCAUAAUCAUUAGUUUCUUAAUUAGAAGCUUGUAUGAAAGGUUGGAUGAGAAAGUUACUGUCUCUAUUUAAAUUUAUUAGAAUUUUAUAUUUAAGUAAAAAAGCUUAAAUACAUAUAGAAGACGAGAAGACCCUAUAGAGUUUUAUAUUAUUAUUAUUUAUAUCUUUUAGUAUUAUAAUUAUAUAAUUAGUUAUAUAUUUGAUUGGGGUGAUUAAAAAAUUUAUUGAACUUUUUUUGUAUUAUUUCAUUAAUUUAUGAAUUAUUGAUCCUUAAUUUAAGAUUAAAAGAAUAAAUUACCUUAGGGAUAACAGCGUAAUUUUUUUUAAGAGUUCUAAUCAAAAAAAAAGUUUGC
rnacentral:rRNA from 1 species